rnacentral:rRNA from 1 species
UACAGAGGUGGCAAGCGUUGUUCGGAAUUACUGGGCGUAAAGGGCGCGUAGGCGGUUCGUUAAGUCCUGUGUGAAAUCCCCCGGCUCAACUGGGGAACUGCACAGGAAACUAGCGGGCUUGAGUUCGGGAGAGGGAAGCGGAAUUCCGGGUGUAGCGGUGAAAUGCGUAGAUAUCCGGAGGAACACCGGUGCGAAGGCGGCUUCCUGGACCGACACUGACGCUGAGGCGCGAAAGCUAGGGGAGCAAACGGG